rnacentral:sRNA from 1 species
UAUGUCAGGAAUAUUUAUGUUAAGUCUAUUAUUUUCGUCGAUUUUGUGAAAUCCAAUUUUCAAAUUAAUGGCCGUUUUUCUUUAAGUGUACAGUAAUAAGAAAAAAGGAAAGCAGGGACAUCGCCAACUAAUGGCACAAUUUCGCCAACUAGCUGGAUGCGAGUGCGGAUGCGGAUAUGUGAGAAUUCAAUGAAAUGGAAACUAACAAAAUCAAAUUGAUAGAAAAGGCAAAGGCAGAGCACGGAUCAGGCUUUAAAGGACACUGCGAUGAAAAGAAAUCGGCGCAAAUCAAACUGAGCAGCGCAGCAGGAAAAAUUGGGCCGGCAAAAAGGGAGCAGAACAAAAAAGGUUAGCGGAAGCGCAGCGACAAAAGGGCGGCACCGGAGCUUUUCCACCACCCAUCCUCGCCGGAGGACAACAAAAGAUGCUGGGAAAGCCGAAGGAGUCACGACAUGGAACAAUGCCUCCGCUUCGUCCUUGGACAGGAGCUGAGCAGUGGGUGGUGGCGGAGGAAGGGUAGCCAGCUAGCGGGGCAUAACUCGUGGCCAGCUUCCGUUCAAUUUGAAGCCUGUUUGCUGCCUCAGUAGAAGAAAGCCCAAGCGAAAAACAAAAGCGGAAACGAACAGUUGGCGGCCGAUUGGAACAAUUGCAGCGGAGGCAUCAGCCAUCAGCGGAGGUAGAAAAGAAAAUUUAAGAAAAUAAACUUAUUUGAACGGUGCACACCCUUA